rnacentral:rRNA from 1 species
UACGAAGGUGGCAAGCGUUGUUCGGAUUUACUGGGCGUAAAGCGCGCGUAGGCGGCUUUGCAAGUCGAGUGUGAAAUCCCCAGGCUUAACCUGGGAACUGCAUUCGAGACUGCAUAGCUAGAGUAUGGGAGAGGGAAGUGGAAUUUCAGGUGUAGCGGUGAAAUGCGUAGAUAUCUGAAGGAACAUCAGUGGCGAAAGCGACUUCCUGGACCAAUACUGACGCUCAUGUGCGAAAGCGUGGGGAGCAAACAGG